rnacentral:rRNA from 1 species
UACGUAGGGGGCAAGCGUUGUCCGGAUUUAUUGGGCGUAAAGAGCGUGUAGGCGGCCAUACAGGUCAGCUGUGAAAACUCGAGGCUCAACCUCGAGACGUCGGUUGAAACCGUAUGGCUAGAGUCCGGAAGAGGAGAGUGGAAUUCCCGGUGUAGGCGGUGAAAUGCGCAGAUAUCGGGAAGAACACCCCGUGGCGAAGGCGGCUCUCUGGGACGGUACUGACGCGUGAGACGCGAAAAGCGUGGGGAGCGAACAGG